rnacentral:rRNA from 1 species
AGUGAACGCUAGCGGUAGGCCUAACACAUGCAAGUCGAACGGCAGCACAGGAGAGCUUGCUCUCUGGGUGGCGAGUGGCGGACGGGUGAGGAAUACAUCGGAAUCUGCCCAGUCGUGGGGGAUAACGUAGGGAAACUUACGCUAAUACCGCAUACGACCUUCGGGUGAAAGAGGGGGAUCGCAAGACCUCUCGCGAUUGGAUGAGCCGAUGUCGGAUUAGCUAGUUGGCGGGGUAAUGGCCCACCAAGGCGACGAUCCGUAGCUGGUCUGAGAGGAUGAUCAGCCACACUGGAACUGAGACACGGUCCAGACUCCUACGGGAGGCAGCAGUGGGGAAUAUUGGACAAUGGGCGCAAGCCUGAUCCAGCCAUACCGCGUGGGUGAAGAAGGCCUUCGGGUUGUAAAGCCCUUUUGUUGGGAAAGAAAUCUUUCAGGCUAAUACCCUGGGAGGAUGACGGUACCCAAAGAAUAAGCACCGGCUAACUUCGUG